GGAUAUGAGGGUGAUUUUGCUGUGACACCUGUCACCAAUUGAUCACAAUGGUUGAUUUGGCUGAUCUGGCUAACUAGGUGGGUUUCCCUUCUUUCCUAACUGCGCCAUGUAUAUCUGCCCUUCUGAUCAGACGCAAGUGCGGCAGGAGCUCUGUAAUUUGCCAGCACAGCUCGCAGUGCGGUCCCAUGCAGGUCCUGAGCACUGUGCGCUCGCGCCUCU
rnacentral:sRNA from 1 species